AGUGAACGCUGGCGGCGUGCCUAAUACAUGCAAGUCGAACGCGAAAGUCCUUCGGGAUGAGUAAAGUGGCGCACGGGUGAGUAAUGCAUGAGAACAUGCCCUUAGAUGGGGAAUAACGUUUGGAAACGAACGCUAAUACCGCAUAAUCUCGAGAGAGUAAAGGUGGCGCCGCAAGGGCUACCGUCUAAGGAUUGGCUCAUGUCCCAUUAGCUAGUUGGCGGGGUAAUGGCCCACCAAGGCAACGAUGGGUAUGUGGUCUGAGAGGAUGAUCACACACACUGGAACUGAGACACGGUCCAGACUCCUACGGGAGGCAGCAGUAGGGAAUAUUGCACAAUGGGGGAAACCCUGAUGCAGCAACGCCGCGUGAGUGAAGAAGGCCCUUGGGUCGUAAAGCUCUUUAGCGAGGGAAGAGGGUAGAUACGGUGAAUAAUCGUGUUUGCUGACGGUACCUCGAGAAUAAGCACCGGCUAAUUUCGUGCCAGCCGCCGCGGUAA
rnacentral:rRNA from 1 species